rnacentral:sRNA from 1 species
GGAUGAAAAAGGAAACCUUCCUUGUGAAGACCUCAGAGGACAUAUGGUGGGCAAGCCAGUGCAUAAGGGAUCUGAAUCACCAAAUUCAUUUCUGGAUCAGGAAUAUCGAAAGAGAUUUAAUAUUGUCGAAGAAGAUACUGUCUUAUAUUGCUAUGAAUAUGAAAAAGGAAGAUCAAGUAGUCAAGGAAGACGAGAAAGCACCCCAACUUAUGAAAACUCUCUACUUCGGUAUAUGAGCAAUGAAAAGAUUGCUCAAGAAGAAUACAUGUUUCAGAGAAACAGCAAAAAGGACACAGGGAAGAAGUCAAAAAAGAAGGGUGAUAAGAGUAAUAGCCCAACUCACUAUUCAUUGCUACCUAGUUUACAAAUGGAUGCACUGAGACAAGACAUCAUGGGCACUCCUGUGCCAGAGACCACACUAUACCAUACAUUUCAGCAGUCCUCACUGCAACACAAAUCAAAGAAGAAAAACAAAGGUCCUAUAGCAGGCAAGAGCAAAAGACGAAUUUCUUGCAAAGAUCUUGGCCGUGGUGACUGUGAAGGCUGGCUUUGG